GACGAACGCUGGCGGCGUGCUUAACACAUGCAAGUCGAACGGAAAGGCCCUGCUUUUGUGGGGUGCUCGAGUGGCGAACGGGUGAGUAGCACGUGAGUAACCUGCCCUUGACUUUGGGAUAACUUCAGGAAACUGGGGCUAAUACCGGAUAGGAGCUCCUGCUGCAUGGUGGGGGUUGGAAAGUUUCGGCGGUUGGGGAUGGACUCGCGGCUUAUCAGCUUGUUGGUGGGGUAGUGGCUUACCAAGGCUUUGACGGGUAGCCGGCCUGAGAGGGUGACCGGCCACCUUGGGACUGAGAUACGGCCCAGACUCCUACGGGAGGCAGCAGUGGGGAAUAUUGCACAAUGGGCGGAAGCCUGAUGCAGCAACGACGCGUGCGGGAUGACGGCCUGCGGGUUGUAAACCGCUUUCGCCUGUGACGAAGCGUGAGUGACGGUAAUGGGUAAAGAAGCACCGGCUAACUACGUG
rnacentral:rRNA from 1 species